rnacentral:rRNA from 1 species
UACGGAGGGUGCAAGCGUUAUCCGGAUUCACUGGGUUUAAAGGGUGCGUAGGUGGGUAAGUAAGUCAGUGGUGAAAUCUCCGGGCUCAACCCGGAAACUGCCAUUGAUACUAUCUGUCUUGAAUAUCGUGGAGGUAAGCGGAAUAUGUCAUGUAGCGGUGAAAUGCUUAGAUAUGACAUAGAACACCAAUUGCGAAGGCAGCUUACUACCCGAAUAUUGACACUGAGGCACGAAAGCGUGGGAUCAAACAGG